rnacentral:rRNA from 1 species
UACGGAGGGUGCAAGCGUUAUCCGGCUUCACUGGGUUUAAAGGGUGUGUAGGCGGACUGUUAAGUCAGUGGUGAAAUCUCCGGGCUCAACCCGGAAACUGCCAUUGAUACUAUCAGUCUUGAAUUCUGUUGAGGUGGGCGGAAUACAUCAUGUAGCGGUGAAAUGAUUAGAUAUGAUGUAGAACACCGAUUGCGAAGGCAGCUCACUAAACAGCGAGUGACGCUGAGGCACGAAAGCGUGGGGAUUAAACAGG